rnacentral:rRNA from 1 species
AUGGGACGCAUGCACAGCAACGGGAAGGGCAUGUCGUCCUCGGUGAUCCCCUACAAGCGGGAGGCCCCGACCUGGGUCAAGACGUCCGCGCCGGACGUGGAGGAGAUCAUCGUCCGCGCCGCCAAGAAGGGCCAGCUGCCGUCGCAGAUCGGCGCCCUGCUCCGCGACGGCUACGGCAUCCCGCUGUCCAAGGCCGUCACCGGCGCCAAGAUCGUGCGCCUGCUCAAGGCGCGCGGGCUGGCGCCGGAGAUGCCCGAGGACCUCUACUUCCUCAUCAAGAAGGCCGUUGCGAUCCGGAAGCACCUGGAGAGGAACAGGUCGGACGUGGACGCCAAGUUCCGCCUCAUCCUCGUCGAGAGCAGGGUCCACCGCCUCACCCGCUACUACCGCCUCACCAAGAAGAUGCCCGCCGCCUGGAAGUACGAGUCCACCACCGCGAGCACUCUCGUCGCCUGA